UAUGUGUGAAAAGCAAAAAAUUAUAUUUAAAAAAAUUCUAAAUUAUGUAUAUUUUAAAGAUUAUAUUUUCAAACUUGGCAUCAUCUUUCUUUCAGAUGGCUACCAAAGUUAUGCGAUCACAUGUUUCACAGACCUUAUUUUUUAGAUAUCCCCACAAAAAAUAAUCCAUUGGUGAUAGGUAACUUGUAACAACCCGUAUUAUGAGCCGGACAGCCAUAUUGUGAAAAUACAUAUCCAAGCCGACGUUGCAAAGGAAUAUCAUGCUAGAAGAAGCCCAGCGAAUAUCCUUAGCCUGCCUAAACCUAGAACCCGCCUUCAUACACCUGCUCCAAGCAGAGCUUGGAUAAUCAGAGGUUUGAAUUGCAUAGCCAGUAAUGGUGCCCAGUAUGAACAGUUUCUUUAAAAGAUAGGAGACAAAACACUAUCAACUAUCAAAAAUGUGGAAAAAAGUAAUAAGGGUCCGAAAUAUUAACGCUAAACUAGAAGAAAAAUUGAAGAAAUGAUAUACAAUAAAUCAACAAGUCUUGGGCGUUUAAUUCCUGAAAACAUACUACUAUUCAACACCCGCUCAUCAAGAAAGAUGUGAAAGAUCAUAAUCAAGGUGUGUACCAAAAGCUCUCGGACCUGAUUGAAAAUUUAAAACCCCUAAAUCAAGAUAGAUCAGAAUAACAAAUACCUUCUUUCCGUUUAGUCUUUAUUUUCUGUCAAACCUUUCGAUUAAAUUAUUAAACUGAUCACUAAGUAUAUGUAAAUCAUCAUAAAUGUUUCUUGGUUUGGUCGGAAGUCAUGACACUUUUAAAAAAGAGCAAUAUCUGGAAU